CGAACGAAGUAGCAAUACUUAGUGGCAGACGGGUGAGUAACAUGUGGGUAUCUUCCCUUUGGUGAGGAAUAACACGAGGAAACUUGUGCUAAUACCUCAUAAGUCUUUACGGAGAAAGCUUUAUGCGCCAAUGGAUGAGCCCGCACUUGAUUAGUUUGUUGGUGGGGUAAUGGCCUACCAAGACUUUGAUCAAUAGCUGAUCUGAGAGGAUGAUCAGCCACAUUGGGACUGAGACACGGCCCAAACUCCUACGGGAGGCAGCAGUAGGGAAUACUGCACAAUGGAGGAAACCCUGAUGCAGCGAUGCCGCGUGAGUGAAGAAGGCCUUUGGGUUGUAAAGCUCUUUCGUCGGGGAAGAAAAUGACGGUACCCGAAUAAGAAGGUCCGGCUAACUUCGUGCCAGCAGCCGCGGUAAUACGAAGGGACCUAGCGUAGUUCGGAAUUACUGGGCUUAAAGAGUUCGUAGGUGGUUAAAAAAGUUGGUUGUGAAAUCCCGAAGCUUAACUUCGGAACUGCAAUCAAAACUUUUUAGCUAGAGUAUGAUAGAGGAAAGCAGAAUUUCUAGUGUAGAGGUGAAAUUCGUAGAUAUUAGAAAGAAUACCAAUUGCGAAGGCAGCUUUCUGGAUCAUUACUGACGCUGAGGAACGAAAGCAUGGGUAGCGAAGAGGAU
rnacentral:rRNA from 1 species